CGACGAUGCGUAGGGGUUCUGAGAGGAAGGUCCCCCACACUGGUACUGAGACACGGACCAGACUCCUACGGGAGGCAGCAGUGAGGAAUAUUGGUCAAUGGGCGGGAGCCUGAACCAGCCAAGUCGCGUGAGGGAUGACGGCCCUAUGGGUUGUAAACCUCUUUUGCCGGGGAGCAAAGUGCCGCACGUGUGCGGUUUGGAGAGUACCCGGAGAAAAAGCAUCGGCUAACUCCGUGCCAGCAGCCGCGGUAAUACGGAGGAUGCGAGCGUUAUCCGGAUUUAUUGGGUUUAAAGGGUGCGUAGGCGGACGCUUAAGUCAGCGGUAAAAUUGCGGGGCUCAACCUCGUCGAGCCGUUGAAACUGGGUGCCUUGAGUGGGCGAGAAGUACGCGGAAUGCGUGGUGUAGCGGUGAAAUGCAUAGAUAUCACGCAGAACUCCGAUUGCGAAGGCAGCGUACCGGCGCCCAACUGACGCUGAAGCACGAAGGCGUGGGUAUCGAACAGGAUUAGAUACCCUGGUAGUCCACGCAGUAAACGAUGAAUGCUAGUUGUCCGGGGCGAUUGAGUUCUG
rnacentral:rRNA from 1 species